AAAUCUCAUAAUACUUGCUUGUGCAUUAUUCCUGUAAUAAUAUACAUGGCAAGUUUUGUGGAUUUUGGAUGAUUUGUCAUUUGACAAUCAUUUAAAAUUGAUUGUAUGUGCUCCAAUUGCCUAUGUCUUUUGGGUCUCUAAAGUGCAACAGAUUAUAUCUAUUCUCUUUGGUACUUAAGGACGUACUUUGGUGUAUGUAACCAAACGUUAUUAUACAGACUCUAUAUACCAAUGUGUAUGGUUUCUGAUA
rnacentral:misc_RNA from 1 species